UACGGGGGGGGCAAGCGUUGUUCGGAAUUACUGGGCGUAAAGGGCGCGUAGGCGGUGCUCUAAGUCGGAUGUGAAAACUCUGGGCUCAACCCAGAGCCUGCAUCCGAAACUGGAGUGCUAGAGUUCUGGAGGGGGUAGCGGAAUUCCUGGUGUAGCGGUGAAAUGCGUAGAUAUCAGGAGGAACACCGGUGGCGAAGGCGGCUACCUGGACAGAAACUGACGCUGAGGCGACGAAAGCUAGGGGAGCAAACAGG
rnacentral:rRNA from 1 species